rnacentral:rRNA from 1 species
AUUGAACGCUGGCGGCAGGCCUAACACAUGCAAGUCGAGCGAGCGGCGGACGGGUGAGUAAUGUCUGGGAAACUGUCUGAUGGAGGGGGAUAACUACUGGAAACGGUAGCUAAUAUCGCAUACCAUCAGAUGUGUCCAGCUGGGAUUAGCUAGGAGGUGGGGUAACGGCUCACCUAGGCGACGAUCCCUAGCUGGUCUGAGAGGAUGACCAGCCACACUGGAACUGAGACACGGUCCAGACUCCUACGGGAGGCAGCAGUGGGGAAUAUUGCACAAUGGGCGCAAGCCUGAUGCAGCCAUGCCGCGUGUGUGAAGAAGGCCUUCGGGUUGUAAAGCACUUUCAGCGGGGAGGCGUUACCCGCAGAAGAAGCACCGGCUAACUCCGUGCCAGCAGCCGCGGUAAUAC